rnacentral:tRNA from 1 species
AUUAAGGUGGCAGAGCCAAGAAAUUAUGCGAAAGGCCUAAGCCCUUUAAAUAGGGGUGCAAAUCCCCUCCUUAAUA